GUGAUCCAGCAGAGCACGUCGCUUCAACCUUACGACACUUCACGACGCGCCUCACACUCACGGGGCCGCACAAAAAGGAGUGCUCUGACGUCCUCUGUUGGCUACAUUGCUGAAUUGAACUGUCCACUCGAUAUCCUCUUGUUCAUCAUAGGCCUGUUCCUGCUUCAUAGACACGUUCUAGGCUAUUACUACAUGGCAACCGGUGGAUAAACUUGGCCGCUCUUGAAUUGUUCUGCAAUGUGUCGGCCUAUCCAGUAAGGAGGAAAUGUUCGCAUGGAUGACAGAUGGUGCUGGCGCGGCUCAGGGAGAGAUGGCAGGCCUUCUGCGCCAGCUUUGUGCCACCUGCACCCCCUCUUCAGCUCCCCGUCUAUCUACACAAUACCCCGACAGGGUGUGGCAUGACCCCAGGGCUGCUACCCUGUACGGUGUAUGCAAUGGAUGUAUAUUUUCAGAGCUCCGACUCAAAGACAGGACUUGUGAAACGAUAUGUUUCAGAGAAAUAUGGCGCAUGCGUUUUUGGACUCCACGUCUUGCCUGAUGGAUGAGUUCCACAGGCUCGGAGAGAGGCCCUGCUCAGCAGAAGACGGCUCGGAUGCGGAGGCUCCUAAUUAGGCCAUUCAUCUUUAUGGAAACCCCAGCACCCAAUCAAACCAGAGAGCCCUGGUGCGGCCUCAGCAUUUGAUAAAUCUGUCCUUAAAUUAGUGGCCACGAGAGCCCUGGGGCUCCCUCGCCCCUCAUGGAAGUAUCCAUCAUUGUGUUAAGCACUGGCAAUAGAUUUCUAGCGUGUUAGGUGAGAGCUAGUGUUGUAGGGACUGAAAUGGAGGGCUGUUUUUAGUUUGAGUAUGGAAAAUAAAUCUCAUGUUGAAGCCAUAGUGGGAGAGUGGAAGAGAGGAAGUUACAAUAAAACUUAGAUACCAACAAAGAUAUCUAGCCUGUCAAAAAUGAAAGCACAAUGUGAUCAUUUAGUUAAUUCCUUGGUGUAAACAGAAGCUCUCCACACAUCUCGUUUUCCUUGUAGACCCACAUAACCUAAUAAAGACCAUUUA
ensembl:lncRNA